GGUUUUAACCCAGUAUCUCAAGGUACUACGGGCGUCUGACCUUCCACUUGUGGUUGCGUCACAAACCUCAAUUUUUGGAUAGCUCACUCGGGGAAUCCGGGCGGGCAACAAGC
rnacentral:sRNA from 1 species